rnacentral:lncRNA from 1 species
AAGAAUGGACAAGGGAGUCUGAAGAAAUUCCCAUUGGAUUGUCUAAGCUCUUUCAAUGAUUAUUAUUGUUAGAUGUGCUAAAGAGCAGAAGAAGUUUGUACAGGACUGAAGACGAAUGCGGUAUUUUAUUUUGUGGUGUGUUACUAUCAUAGCUAAAGAAUCCAUCACUAAAUAGUCUACUAUUGGUGAGCCUCUCCAUACUCUGAGAUGUUAGUCCUCUGAAAGCAAAUAAUCUGUUGCUAAGACCAUAUUCAGCAUAGUAGGAAUUUGAACUCUGCUG